CCUUCAUCAGCUGCUCGAUCUGAGGAUUAGGAGCGGGGAUGCUGUAACCACCGACUAUGACCUCCUGUCCAGCAGGGGGCAGUGCAGGUGCUCCAGACUUAGGCGUAGGUGACCUCAGUUGGUUUCCCAGUGCUGGAUCUAUAUGACGGUAGACACCUGCCAUCCCACCUCUGUAAAAACAGGCACCCAAAUAGUGGCCCACACAGCAGGGAAGAGAACACAAAGGAGAGAGCUGUGUCCUCACCCAGAGAUGGCAAGUCCACUACAGAGUGGCCAAAUUUAUCCCCUCCCGCCCACGGGCCAGUCUCGAUCUGCUGGGCGGCGCUUUCUCCCGGACUAUUCUGGACGUACGCUAAUUGCGUCUGCAUAUUCCCCGGCAUUCCAAGCCUGCGGCGUGGAGUCUAAAGGGGGAAGCUGAGACACAGGGCCGGAGACACGCGGUCGGCGUGUUCGCCGCUCUGCGGUGGGCUCCGCUCCAACACGUAGCGUUGGCUAAAUUUUUCAGGCCAGAGGGUUCAUGCCACGCACGGGCGCAGUAACCAGGACGUGGCAGCUCAGCCCCAACACAGUGCAUUCAGGUGUACGUGCACGCCACAAACAUUACUGUGAACUACAGAAAAAUGACUUAUGGAAGACCAGUGGAAUUGGUGGGGUAAAAAAGCUCUGAAGAACAUGGACGCAUUAAAAUCAUUAGGAGCAGAUUUAGGCAUCGGAAAACAUGAAGCACUGCUGUGUGUCUUCCAGACAGGCAAAGAAAAGAUGUCAGUAAGGUAAUUAGACUCUGUUCAACCCCAAAAAGAAUCACUGCCAGACUGAAAGCAACCAUAGCUCGGAUCCGUCAGACUCCCUUCAUCAUACUGCUUCGCCUCUUCAAGAGUUUGUGAACCCCCUCCAGCCAGUGCAAACAGCACAGGGCCGACUGAGCAAACAUCUCAGAGCUGCCCAUCUAGUGCUCAUGGGGGAACCCGGGCCCGUGACGUCCUCUUGUGUGCAAUAGUGUGGGUGUGAGGGUGAAGAUGCGGAUGAUGCCUGGUGCCCACCAGCACCGUGGGAGCAGGAGAGGAAGGUGCAGGGGACUGCGAGCGACGGAUGUCAUGUGCAGGCUUGGAGAUUUCUCAGGCAGUGCAUCAGUGCCGGACAGAUAAGCCUCACCUUCAAUGGCCCGGGCUCUUUCUCUCACGCACACACACACACACACACAUAUACACACACACACACAUACACACACACAUACACACACAGAAAGAGACUACCUGUUCACAGUGACUGAUAUUAAACAUAGAACCACGUUGACAAAGUACAGACUCAGUGAAACACAGAAACGUUCACAAGUUUCUCAUCAAAUUUACUUUACUAAAUUUGAGAUGAUAAACCUCAACUGUAGAUGUCUAAAACUGACAAACUGCCCUAAAAAGACAGCAGCACUUUAGCUGGGCAAUACACAUCUGCCUGCCAUAACAUGAGGGACAGUGAAUGGCCCACCAUAACACAACACACAUGUUGCUGUGUUGCCAUGUGAACACCUAUAUGCAUUUAUCUAUGUAUUCAUUUCAUAUAUUUACACAUUUCUUCCUUCUCUCCUUACCAUUUAAUUUCUUUCUUUUCAGUUUUUCCUUUCUCAUCUUGACUUCAAGUAUUAAUUCAUGCCAGAUAGUUCCUUCAUGUUAAUUAUUAUUAACAUGAAACAUUGACAAUAACAAUUUCCUAAAUAUCACAAAUGAUCACUCCUGUUGUUUUUCUACAAUACUGCUUUGGGAGGGUAGAGAGAGAGAGAGAGAGAGAGAGAGAGAAGUGGAAAAGAAAGCGCGAGAUCGGGAGUAAGAGGGUGUGGGAAAGGGCCCAAGAUAACUGAAAAUACACCUCCUGACUUCUACCCAGAAGAACAACAAAUCAUGAGAUAUAACCAUAUGAGAUUAGACAUGUUCUUCAGCCUGGUUGGUGUAUGAUUACAUCACGUAAACGUCUCUGCACAUCUGUUGGAGCACUAUAAAGACGAGGGAAUAAAAGCUCUCGGUAGGAGUCUGCGUGCUCUGGUUCCCGCGUGUGAGCGCUCAUUACCAUUCUCACUGCAAUUCCAUGAUGUCCUGCUGGGGAUCGAAAUUCCUAGGAUUCCUCUGGCUCUCCCCAGAGCUUCUCAGAGGCAAAGUGCCAUGAUUUCCUGCUCACAAAUGGGCGAGACAGGAUGAAGUGUGCUCGGUGAAUCAUCUCUGCUCAGAAUAUGAAGAAAUUUAUAAACAUCCAGGACUGAGACUGACUUUACUACAUAGAUGUGCCGCAAGUCAACAAUUUAAGUCACAGUUUCUCAGAAGCAAUCAGCACCAUAAAACAAACAUAAAACAGCACUGUUCACCUUUGAUUGGUAGAACAAGUAUCCCACUGUACACUCCCUCUUAUAUGAACACGGGGUCGAGAUUGGUUCUUCUCUGUUGUGUAAUGUCUGUCUGUGUUCCAAACACCCUUACUCAAAUUUCUAAAGCUGAAACUGCAAACUCUCUUGGAAAUAAGAGGUAAUAAAAUUGUAAUAAAGGUAAUAAGAGGUAAUAAAGAUG